rnacentral:tRNA from 1 species
GCGCCUGUAGCUCAGUUGGAUAGAGCACCGGCCUCCGGAGCCGGGUGGAUGGGUUCGAGUCCCCUCAGGCGCGCCA